rnacentral:rRNA from 1 species
UCCUACGGGAGGCAGCAGUGGGGAAUUUUGGACAAUGGGCGCAAGCCUGAUCCAGCCAUGCCGCGUGUCUGAAGAAGGCCUUCGGGUUGUAAAGGACUUUUGUUCGGGAGGAAAUCCCGCUGGUUAAUACCUGGCGGGGAUGACAGUACCG